UACAGAGGGUGCGAGCGUUGUCCGGAAUCACUGGGCGUAAAGAGCGCGCAGGCGGUCCGGCAAGUCCGCUCUGAAAGCCCGGGGCUCAACCCCGGGAGGCGGGCGGAUACUGUCGGGCUAGAGUCCGGAAGAGGCGAGUGGAAUUCCUGGUGUAGCGGUGAAAUGCGCAGAUAUCAGGAGGAACACCGAUGGCGAAGGCAGCUCGCUGGGACGGUACUGACGCUGAGGCGCGAAAGCGUGGGGAGCGAACAGG
rnacentral:rRNA from 1 species